GCCUUCGUGGUGUAGUGGUCAGCACGCUCCACACGUAACCAAGAGGUCCGUGGUUCGAUUCCCGGCGAGGGCA
rfam:Stegodyphus mimosarum contig113221, whole genome shotgun sequence.